UACGGAGGGUGCGAGCGUUGUCCGGAAUCACUGGGCGUAAAGGGCGCGUAGGCGGCCCACGGUAGUCUGUGGUGAAAGCCCGGGGCUCAACCUCGGGUCGGCCACGGAUACUCCGGGGCUCGAGUCUGGUAGAGGCUCAUGGAAUUCCGGGUGUAGCGGUGGAAUGCGUAGAGAUCCGGAAGAACACCGGUGGCGAAGGCGGUGAGCUGGGCCAGAACUGACGCUGAGGCGCGACAGCGUGGGGAGCAAACAGG
rnacentral:rRNA from 1 species